rnacentral:ncRNA from 1 species
UACCUGGUUGAUCCUGCCAGUAGUCAUAUGCUUGUCUCAAAGAUUAAGCCAUGCAAGUCUAAGUACGAGCUCUCGUACAGUGAAACUGCGAAUGGCUCAUUAAAUCAGUUAUGGUUCAUUUGAUCGUACAGUUUACUUGGAUAACUGUGGUAAUUCUAGAGCUAAUACAUGCGAGAAGCGCCGACCUCGCGGAAGGCGUGCAUUUAUCAGACCAAAAACCGGCCGCGUCUUCGGGCGCGUUCGCCUUGGUGACUCUGGAUAACUUUGCGGAUCGCACGGUCUAGCACCGGCGACGGAUCAUUCAAGUGUCUGCCCUAUCAACUUUCGUCGGUACGGUAUUUGCCUACCGAGGUUCUUACGGGUGACGGGGAAUCAGGGUUCGAUUCCGGAGAGGGAGCCUGAGAAACGGCUACCACAUCCAAGGAAGGCAGCAGGCGCGCAAAUUACCCAUUCCCGACGCGGGGAGGUAGUGACGAAAAAUAACAAUGCAGGACUCGUUCGAGGCCCUGUAAUUGGAAUGAGUACACUUUAAAAGCUUUAACGAGUAUCCAUUGGAGGGCAAGUCUGGUGCCAGCAGCCGCGGUAAUUCCAGCUCCAAAAGUAUAUAUUUAAGUUGUUGCGGUUAAAAAGCUCGUAGUUGG